AAACAAACAAAUCUACUAAGGAAGAUUUAAGGCCCGUGCAUCCUCUACUAAGAGUGAUAGAACCUCCUCCACAGCCUUCUGAACCUACCAAAGUGAAAGAAGAAAUUAAGAAAAAGAGAACUGGAAAUUGUUCAGAGAAUGCAACAAGAGAAGCUGGGCCUGAGGGAUUUAAUUUAUCAGAGCUUGAACCGCACCACCUCAGACAACGAGAAGACUAUUUAAAACAGAAGCGAGAUACAUUGAUGGCUAUGAAGAAGGAGUCAAGAAAUAAUCUACCAACACCAAAUAUAGAUCAGAAAGAAGAGGCAUUAUCUUCUAAAGAGGAAAUGUCAGAAGAGGAGAAGCAAAGACUACUGCUAAAGAGGAGAAUGCUUGCAGCAAAACUUAAAGAAGAAGUUAUUAACAAGCGCUAAGUUUUAAGAAUCUCAUUGUAAAAAUACCUGUGGACAAGAAUUGAAUUUCUUUUAGAAUAAAUUAUU